UCAGCGGAAGCAGGUGCAGGAUGUCCCUC
rnacentral:piRNA from 1 species